rnacentral:tRNA from 1 species
CUUCCUGUAGCUUAAUGGAUAGAGCAGCGUUUUUCUAAAGCGAAGGUUCUAGGUUCAAAUCCUAGCGGGAAGA